rfam:Cephalotus follicularis DNA, scaffold: scaffold107, isolate: St1.
GGGUGCGAUCAUACUAGCACUAAUGCACCGGAUUCCAUCAGAACUCCGCACUUAAGCGUUCUUGGGCGAAAAUGGUUCUAAGAUGGGCUUGUCUUAUGACUUUUAUUGAUUCAGGCU